UACGUAGGGUGCAAGCGUUGUCCGGAAUUAUUGGGCGUAAAGAGCUCGUAGGCGGUUUGUCGCGUCUGCUGUGAAAACCCGAGGCUCAACCUCGGGCCUGCAGUGGGUACGGGCAGACUAGAGUGCGGUAGGGGAGAUUGGAAUUCCUGGUGUAGCGGUGGAAUGCGCAGAUAUCAGGAGGAACACCGGUGGCGAAGGCGGUUCUCUGGGCCUUACCUGACGCUGAGGAGCGAAAGCGUGGGGAGCAAAAGGG
rnacentral:rRNA from 1 species